rnacentral:rRNA from 1 species
GAUGAACGCUAGCGGCAGGCUUAAUACAUGCAAGUCGAGGGACAGCACAGGUAGCAAUACUGGGUGGUAACCGGCAAACGGGUGCGGGACACGUACACAACCUUCCUUUAAGUGGGGGAUAGCCCAGAGAAAUUUGGAUUAAUACCCCGUAAUAUAGUUGAAUGGCAUCAUUUGAUUAUUAUAGCUACGGCGCUUAAUGAUGGGUGUGCGGCUGAUUAGAUAGUUGGCGGGGUAACGGCCCACCAAGUCUACGAUCAGUAGCUGAUGUGAGAGCAUGAUCAGCCACACGGGCACUGAGACACGGGCCCGACUCCUACGGGAGGCAGCAGUAAGGAAUAUUGGUCAAUGGACGCAAGUCUGAACCAGCCAUGCCGCGUGGAGGAUUAAGGUUCUCUGGAUUGUAAACUUCUUUUAUUUGGGACGAAAAAGGGCCUUUCUAGGUCAACUGACGGUACCAGAUGAAUAAGCACCGGCUAACUCCGUGCCAGCCGCCGCUGUAAUAC